UUUACCCCCGAACUCUGCCUAGAGCUGUAUGAGCCUUGUUAAGCACUUUAAAAGGUUGUAGCACGAACCAACUAAAAGGCUCUUACAGAGGCUACAUACCUGCCGCGACAGAAAAUAGCUGGCUCUACUUCAAACCAUUUAAGUGGAACAAACAGCCUCUCCCAGCUGUUAUCUAUAACAAUAAAGGCUAAGCUUUAUUGAAAAAGCAAUAAAACCAGAAAAAAACUAUGUAGGCUCAGCAGCAGCCACCGACUCAACCGCGUAACAACCCCUUCUCAUAAACUAAUUAAAUUACUAAAACAAAAUGCCCAUAAAAAAGUAGAAUUUAUUUAAACCAUAAAAUAUAAUUAUAAUGUAAAAAUUAAUAUUACCUUCCCUUCACACAUGCCUUAUUAACACAUAAGAAAGGAACUCGGCAACUCCGGGCCCCGACUGUUUACCAAAAACAUCGCCUCUUGCACAACAAAAUAAAAGGUAUAUUCUGCCCAGUGACACGCUUAAACGGCCGCGGUACCCUGACCGUGCAAAGGUAGCAUAAUAAGUUGCCUCUUAAUUAGAGGCUAGAAUCAACGAACUAACGCGAGCCCCCCUGUCUCUCUUAUGCCCCCAAAACUUAACCUUUAGGUGAAAAUGCCUAAAUACAACUAAUAGACAAGAAGACCCUAUCGAGCUUCAUUGCAAAUUAUCAAGAGGCCAACUUGCUCACCCCUCCUUCAUAAAGUCGCAAUUUUGUUGGGGCAACAAAGGACCAUCUAAACCUUCCUUAAAUACCUUUAAUAACAAUAACAACGAGCCAAUAAAACGAUCUUAGGAUAAAUGCUACCGUAGGGAUAACAGGUUAAUUUUUCUCGAGAGCCCACAUUAACAGAAAAGUUUGGCACCUCGAUGU
rnacentral:rRNA from 1 species